CCCUUAGAUGUUCUGGGCGGCCCGCGCACUACAAUGGCGUGUGCAGCGAGUGCCGAAGUAGAGUUUUCCGAGGUAUUCUUGCAAUGCUCGUUUUGAUGGGGAUAGACCCUUGCAACUGUUGGUUUUGAACGAGGAAUUCCUUGUAAGCAUGGUUUAUCAUCCGACGCUGAAUGCGUCCCUGCCCUUUGUACACACCGCCCGUCGCUCCUACCGAUGAGUCGUCCGGUGAAGCCUCGGGAUUGUGGUUCUUGCCGCUUUAUUGUGGCGUGACCGCGAGAACUUGUCUAAACCUUAUCAUCUAGAGGAAGGUGAAGUCGUAACA
rnacentral:rRNA from 1 species